CACAGCCGAGCGUUACUAAUUGCCCGAUGACUUUCUUUUAUCCGCCUUCAAUGGUUUAUAUAUCCGUUUAGCUUCACUAUUUAGACAAUAGACCGCUGAAUUUACUUUUGUACAUUAUGUCUGCCUUAUUCAGGUGACUAUAGCAUCAGGGUUCCACCUCUUCCCAUUCCGAACAGAGAAGUUAAGCCUGAUCACGCCGAUGGUACUGCGUAACAGUGGGAGAGUAGGUAGUCGCCGUUUUUUUCGGAUGGUUCACCCCCUCCGGUCGAAAGACCGGAGGGGAUGACUUGUUUUAUACGGGGGGAAGGAAAGGGAGCGCCGGGCUGCCCUCCGGAUAACACUUUCUUAAUGGAGAUGGCUA
rnacentral:rRNA from 1 species